rnacentral:rRNA from 1 species
UACGUAGGGGGGCAAGCGUUGUCCGGAAUUAUUGGGCGUAAAGCGCGUGUAGGCGGCCAGAUAAGUCCGCUGUGAAAUCUCGAGGCUCAACUUCGAGCUGUCGGUGGAAACUGUCUGGCUAGAGUCCGGAAGAGGAGAAUGGAAUUCCUGGUGUAGCGGUGAAAUGCGCAGAUAUCAGGAGGAACACCAGCGGCGAAGGCGGCGCUCUGGGUCGACACUGACGCUGAGGCGCGAAGCGUGGGGAGCAAACAGG